rnacentral:rRNA from 1 species
GAUGAACGCUGGCGGCGUGCCUAAUACAUGCAAGUCGAGCGAAUGGAUUAAGAGCUUGCUCUUAUGAAGUUAGCGGCGGACGGGUGAGUAACACGUGGGUAACCUGCCCAUAAGACUGGGAUAACUCCGGGAAACCGGGGCUAAUACCGGAUAACAUUUUGAACCGCAUGGUUCGAAAUUGAAAGGCGGCUUCGGCUGUCACUUAUGGAUGGACCCGCGUCGCAUUAGCUAGUUGGUGAGGUAACGGCUCACCAAGGCAACGAUGCGUAGCCGACCUGGGAGGGGGAUCGGGCACACUGGGACUGAGACACGGCCCAGACUCCUACGGGAGGCAGCAGUAGGGAAUCUUCCGCAAUGGACGAAAGUCUGACGGAGCAACGGCGCGUGAGUGAUGAAGGCUUUCGGGUCGUAAAACUCUGUUGUUAGGGAAGAACAAGUGCUAGUUGAAUAAGCUGGCACCUUGACGGUACCUAACCAGAAAGCCACGGCUAACUACGUGCCAGCCGCCGCCGUAA